ACGACUCUCGGCAACGGAUAUCUCGGCUCACGCAUCRAU
rnacentral:rRNA from 1 species